CUCCUCCAGAGCGCCCAGACACGCCCACGUGCUCGUGUCCGGGUCCGUUAACAACCCGCUGAGAGACCGUUCUCUCGCGGUAUUUGUUCCGACUCCCGCGGGGUUUAGCGUGGUCUGCAAGGCCCGGCCCCCGCAAGGGGGUGGUGGUCAGUUAGUGGCGUUGGGCUCCGCCGGCUGUGGCAGCGCUUUCUUUUCUCCUCACCGGGGGCUCCUCAGGCCGGAGACGAACCAGGAAAGCAGCAGGAUGCAGAGCGGUUGCUCCACACGGAUCCUACACUUUGUGCCACACAUGCUGUGCCCAGUGGGCCAGGCUGCCCCGAGGUGUUCCCAGGGUUGAGACCUGCUCCAGGGAUGCCCUGGUCCAGAUGACAGCAAGAAUAGGCCCCAUCCUGCAGGCCUGUCAGGACCCCAACAUGUGGUUCUGGGAGCAGGUGGGGAUAGGUUGAGGGGGCACAGGCUGCUCCAGCCUUGGUGUCUCCCAGGAGCCAGGCCCUGCCUAUAGGCCCCCUCCAAUAGGCCCCCAAGGCUGCAGCCUGGAAGUACCACUGGCCUGACCUCUUCCCGGCCACCAUAUACCCACAGGGUCUGCCAGGACCCUCUCUGAUAAGCCCCCAGGACAGCACCCCUGGAGUGCCCCUCGCUGCUGACUGGCGCACCGCCUUCUUCCACCCGGCCUCCCCAGCGGCCCGAAGCCCCACUCCUUCUGCCAAAGUGCCGAACAUCUGGCUGCCCCACCAUCUCCCGGCCCUGUCUCCCCACUGGCCUGAAACCCCACCCCCUCGGCAGGACUGUCUCCCAGUCCCGUGCUCCGCUCCGGCCUGAAGCCCCGCCACGACUGCAAGUGUCAACACUCCGCCCCCUGAAGCCUGUCACCUAUUCUCACCAACCCUUCCACUCCCUAAUUUCAUUUGUAUGUACAUGAAAACAAACAAGAAAAAACAAAUACAUGAUAAAUCAUUUAAUUAAAUCAUAGCAAUUACCAGACAUGUGAUAAAGGAAGAAUAAAGUUUUUUUGUGUGUAGAA